GUGGGGAAUAUUGCGCAAUGGGGGAAACCCUGACGCAGCGACGCCGUGUGAGGGAAGAAGGCUUUCGGGUCGUAAACCUCUGUCAGAAAGGAAGAACCUCCCAUAUCCGAAUAGGGUGUGGGACUGACGGUACUUUCAAAGGAAGCACCGGCUAACUCCGUGCCAGCAGCCGCGGUAAUACGGAGGGUGCUAGCGUUAAUCGGAAUCACUGGGCGUAAAGCGCGCGUAGGCCGCUUCUUAAGUCGGACGUGAAAGCCCUCGGCUCAACCGGGGAACUGCGUUCGAUACUGGGAGGCUUGAGUCCUGGAGAGGGUGGCGGAAUUCCGGGUGUAGGAGUGAAAUCCGUAGAUAUCCGGAGGAACACCGGUGGCGAAGGCGGUCACCUGGACAGGUACUGACGCUGAGGCGCGAAAGCGUGGGGAGCAAACAGGAUUAGAAACCCUUGUAGUCC
rnacentral:rRNA from 1 species